rnacentral:lncRNA from 1 species
GGGGCUGCAGCCAGCCCGCGGGGCGCGAAAUGGCGGCGCUAGCUAGGCCUCGCGGACCUCGCCUGGGCGCGGAGCCGCAGCGGCGGCAGCUGUGUGAGCCCAGAUGUUUAUCACAGAAGCAAACAGAAAUGGAAAAAGGAAUGCGAACAUCAGAGAUGGAGAAGAUCUGGCGAGAAGAAAUUCCUUUUUUCCUGCACUGAAUCUUCCACUUCUCUCCAAACCUGCGCUCUGCUCUGCUCGUCUGUUCCUAGUGUGCCUUUCCAUAAGACUGGCUCCUGCCUGAGGCAGGCGAAGUCUGCUUUCAGCUGAAACUUCAAGAAGAAAAAUUGCGUCAUCUUUGAAAAUGU